GCUGGCGGCACGCCUAACACAUGCAAGUCGAACGAAGUAGCAAUACUUAGUGGCAGACGGGUGAGUAACAUGUAGGUAUCUGCCCUUUGGCCUGGAAUAACACGAGGAAACUUGUGCUAAUACCGGAUAAGUCUUUACGGAGAAAGCUUUAUGCACCAUUGGAUGAGCCUGCACUUGAUUAGUUAGUUGGUAAGGUAAUGGCUUACCAAGACUUUGAUCAAUAGCUGAUUUGAGAGGAUGAUCAGCCACAUUGGGACUGAGACACGGCCCAAACUCCUACGGGAGGCAGCAGUGGGGAAUCUUGCACAAUGGAGGAAACUCUGAUGCAGCGAUGCCGCGUGAGUGAAGAAGGCCCUUGGGUUGUAAAGCUCUUUCGUCGGGGAAGAAAAUGACUGUACCCGAAUAAGAAGGUCCGGCUAACUUCGUGCCAGCAGCCGCGGUAAUACGAAGGGACCUAGCGUAGUUCGGAAUUACUGGGCUUAAAGAGUUCGUAGGUGGUUGAAAAAGUUGGUGGUGAAAUCCCAGAGCUUAACUCUGGAACUGCCAUCAAAACUUUUCAGCUAGAGUUUGAUAGAGGAAAGCAGAAUUUCUAGUGUAGAGGUGAAAUUCGUAGAUAUUAGAAAGAAUACCAAUUGCGAAGGCAGCUUUCUGGAUCAUUACUGACACUGAGGAACGAAAGCAUGGGUAGCGAAGAGGAUUAGAUACCCUCGUAGUCCAUGCCGUAAACGAUGUGUGUUAGACGUUGGAAAUUUAUUUUCAGUGUCGCAGCGAAAGCGAUAAACACACCGCCUGGGGAGUACGAC
rnacentral:rRNA from 1 species